AUGGCACUCCACUUGGACAAUGGU
rnacentral:piRNA from 1 species